rnacentral:tRNA from 1 species
CUGGUAGCUUAGCUGGUAAAGAAUCUGCCUGCAAUGCAGGAGACCCUGGUUCAAUUCCUGGAUCAGA